GACGAACGCUGGCGGCGUGCCUAAUACAUGCAAGUAGAACGCUGAAGCGAGGAGCUUGCUCUUCUUGGAUGAGUUGCGAACGGGUGAGUAACGCGUAGGUAACCUGCCUGGUAGCGGGGGAUAACUAUGGGAAACGAUAGCUAAUACCGCAUAAAAUGGAUUAUCGCAGGAUAGUCCAUUGAAAGUCGCAAAUGCAUCACUACCAGACGGACCUGCGUUGUAUUAGCUAGUUGGUGGGGUAACGGCGCAUCAAGGGGGCGAUACAUAGCCGACCUGAGGGGGUGGUCGGCCACCCUGGGAGUGUGACACGGCCCAGACUCCUACGGGAGGCAGCCGUAGGGCAUCUGCGGCAAUAGACGGAAGUCUGACCGAGCAACGCCGCGUCAGUGAAGAAGGUUUUCGGGUCGUAGAGCUCUGUUGUAAGGGAAGAACGAGUGUGAGCGUGGAAAGUUCACACUGUGACGGUAUCUGACCAGAAAGGGACGGCUAACUACGUG
rnacentral:rRNA from 1 species